rnacentral:lncRNA from 1 species
ACUCAUCAUCAUACAAUUUUGGAUGCCACUCGUUCGUUCUUUGACAUUAACACUACUUUCUAUGUCAUCACUACCCCUAUCGGGUUCACCUCUUUCUUUAGCAUCAUGGGAUCCACGUUCCGACCCAAUCCUCACCUAUCUAAGUCACCAAGCGUUCCAAGUACACUAGGUUAUCAAUUAGAAAGCAUAAGGAAAGGUAUUAUCAUGCAAUCCUACAAUGCAACAUGAAGAGAUGAGAUUAAAUGCAAUCUAAGACAUAGAAAGGAGUUCGAAAGUUUCGGAUGACACCCCCCACCUUUUAUCAACAUGGAGGCUCUAGAAACGCUCCUCGGCGAGCUCUACGAAAAGGCCUUCCUUAGCCCAAGAUAGUGCCAAAACGACCGUAUUUCGCCGAUAGCUCCAAAUCCGCUCGACGAAUCGCGAAAUCGACUUCGCCCCCGCGUUUGGGCACCUAUCAAUUAGGUUUACAAGGCCUCAAAUGAGAUCAAUCUCAUACUUUACAAAAUGCCCCCAUUUGGAGCCCUAGAUUGCACAUAUAGCAAACCACUAAUUAAACCCUAGAUUCAUGGGAUUGAUCUACUUAGAAGCUUGCCUAGGGUCCAUUUGACCCAUUCCAAAGCAUAAAAAUCCAAAAACCCUAAGUUCACAAAGCUAGUGUCACGCCCCGGGUCCGAUGCCAAUUUGGCCUGACCCGAGCACGUCAAACAGACGCCGAACGGACAGAGUUUCCCCUAUCCGCCCAAGGCUCAUCACAUGUACAUUUUCAAACAAGAAAUGCACUAGCGGAAACAUACACAAACGGCUUACACGAGGAUAAGCAAUAGCCAUUAGUGAAAGAAAAAGAAAACUAAACAUUCACAAGUAAUAUGAUUCAUUUUAGAUCAUAUACAUUGCAUCCAUCUCUUACAUUUAGGAUUCUUUGCAUUUCAUUACAUAAUUUCAUCAUUUCUUUCUUACAUCACAUUUACCUCAAAAUAAGCUUUACAUUCUUUUCUUUACAUCGCUAGUCAUCAAAUACGAAAGAUAAACAUAG